GUUGUAUAGUCAAGUAAUUAAGUGCAUGUGGUGGAUGCCUUGGCAGUCAGAGGCGAUGAAAGACGUGAUAGCCUGCGAAAAGCUCCGGGGAGGCGGCAAAUAUCCUUUGAUCCGGAGAUGUCUGAAUGGGGGAACCCACCUACUUUAAGGUAGGUAUUGCAACAUGAAUACAUAGUGUUGCAAGGCGAACGAGGGGAAGUGAAACAUCUCAGUACCCUUAGGAAAAGAAAUCAAUUGAGAUUCCCUCAGUAGCGGCGAGCGAACGGGGAUCAGCCCAUUAAGUUAUGUGUGUUUUAGUGGAACGCUCUGGGAAGUGCGAACGUAGAGGGUGAUAUUCCCGUACACGAAAGGGCACACAUAAUGAUGACGAGUAGGGCGAGGCACGUGAAACCUUGUCUGAAUAUGGGGGGACCAUCCUCCAAGGCUAAAUACUCCUGACUGACCGAUAGUGAACCAGUACCGUGAGGGAAAGGCGAAAAGAACCCCUGUGAGGGGAGUGAAAUAGAUCCUGAAACCGCAUGCAUACAAGCAGUGGGAGCACCUUCGUGGUGUGACUGCGUACCUUUUGUAUAAUGGGUCAGCGACUUAUAUUCAGUAGCGAGGUUAACCGUAUAGGGGAGCCGUAGAGAAAUCGAGUCUUAAUAGGGCGUUUAGUUGCUGGGUAUAGACCCGAAACCAGGCGAUCUAUCCAUGAGCAGGUUGAAGGUUGGGUAACACUAACUGGAGGACCGAACCCACUGUCGUUGAAAAGCCAGGGGAUGACUUGUGGAUAGGGGUGAAAGGCUAAUCAAGCCUGGUGAUAGCUGGUUCUCCCCGAAAGCUAUUUAGGUAGCGCCUCGGACGAAUACCAUAGGGGGUAGAGCACUGUUUCGGCUAGGGGGUCAUCCCGACUUACCAAACCGAUGCAAACUCCGAAUACCUAUGAGUACUAUCCGGGAGACAGACUGCGGGUGCUAACGUCCGUAGUCAAGAGGAAAACAAUCCAGACCGCCAGCUAAGGCCCCAAAAUCAUAGUUAAGUGGGAAACGAUGUGGGAAGGCAUAGACAGCUAGGAGGUUGGCUUAGAAGCAGCCACCCUUUAAAGAAAGCGUAAUAGCUCACUAGUCGAGUCGGCCUGCGCGGAAGAUGUAACGGGGCUAAAACUAUGUGCCGAAGCUGCGGAUNNNNNNNNNNNNNNNNNNNNNNNNNNNNNNNNNNNNNNNNNNNNNNNNNNNNNNNNNNNNNNNNNNNNNNNNAUGCUGGAGGUAUCAGAAGUGCGAAUGCUGACGUGAGUAACGACAAAACGGGUGAAAAACCCGUUCGCCGAAAGACCAAGGGUUCCAGUCCAACGUUAAUCGGGGCUGGGUGAGUCGACCCCUAAGGCGAGGCCGAAAGGCGUAGUCGAUGGGAAAAUGGUUAAUAUUCCAUUACUUCUGUGUAAUGCGAUGAGAGGACGGAGAAGGCUAAAUCAGCCUGGCGUUGGUUGUCCAGGUGAAAGGAUGUAGGCAUGUAUCUUAGGCAAAUCCGGGGUACUCUAUGCUGAGAUCUGAUAGCAAGCUGUACUUGUACAGCGAAGUGGUUGAUGCCAUGCUUCCAGGAAAAGUCUCUAAGCUUCAGUUACACAGGAAUCGUACCCGAAACCGACACAGGUGGUCAGGUCGAGUAGACCAAGGCGCUUGAGAGAACUCUGCUGAAGGAACUAGGCAAAAUGGUACCGUAACUUCGGGAGAAGGUACGCUGUUGUUGGUGAUGGAACUCGCUUCCUGAGCUGACGACAGCCGCAGAAACCAGGCCGCUGCAACUGUUUAUUAAAAACAUAGCACUCUGCAAACACGAAAGUGGACGUAUAGGGUGUGAUGCCUGCCCGGUGCUGGAAGGUUAAUUGAUGGGGUUAGCGUAAGCGAAGCUCUUGAUCGAAGCCCCAGUAAACGGCGGCCGUAACUAUAACGGUCCUAAGGUAGCGAAAUUCCUUGUCGGGUAAGUUCCGACCUGCACGAAUGGCAUAAUGAUGGCGGCGCUGUCUCCAGCAGAGGCUCAGUGAAAUCGAAAUCGCUGUGAAGAUGCAGUGUACCCGCGGCUAGACGGAAAGACCCCGUGAACCUUUACUGCAGCUUGACACUGAACUUUGACCUUACUUGUGUAGGAUAGGUGGGAGGCUUUGAAGCUGGAACGCUAGUUCCAGUGGAGCCGUCCUUGAAAUACCACCCUGGUAAUGUUGAGGUUCUAACUCUGUCCCGUGAUCCGGGACGAGGACCGUGUCUGGUGGGUAGUUUGACUGGGGCGGUCUCCUCCUAAAGAGUAACGGAGGAGUACGAAGGUGCGCUCAGCGUGGUCGGAAAUCACGCGUAGAGUAUAAAGGCAAAAGCGCGCUUAACUGCGAGACCCACAAGUCGAGCAGGUACGAAAGUAGGUCUUAGUGAUCCGGUGGUUCUGUAUGGAAGGGCCAUCGCUCAACGGAUAAAAGGUACUCUGGGGAUAACAGGCUGAUACCGCCCAAGAGUUCAUAUCGACGGCGGUGUUUGGCACCUCGAUGUCGGCUCAUCUCAUCCUGGGGCUGAAGCAGGUCCCAAGGGUAUGGCUGUUCGCCAUUUAAAGAGGUACGCGAGCUGGGUUUAGAACGUCGUGAGACAGUUCGGUCCCUAUCUACCGUGGGCGCUGGAAAUUUGAGAGGAUCUGCUCCUAGUACGAGAGGACCAGAGUGGACGAACCUCUGGUGUACCGGUUGUGACGCCAGUCGCAUCGCCGGGUAGCUAUGUUCGGAAGGGAUAACCGCUGAAAGCAUCUAAGCGGGAAGCCUACCUCAAGAUAAGAUUUCCCUAGGACUUUAUGUCCUCUAAAGAGCCGUUCGAGACUAGGACGUUGAUAGGUUGGAUGUGGAAGCAUAGUGAUAUGUGAAGCUGACCAAUACUAAUUGCUCGUGAGGCUUGACUAUACAACACCCAAGCAGUUG
rnacentral:rRNA from 1 species